rnacentral:rRNA from 1 species
AGAUCAAGAAACAAAGAGCACAGGGCGAAUGCCUUGGCACUGGGAGCCGAAGAAGGACGCGACAAGCUGCGAAAAGCCACGUUUAGGAGCACAUAUCCGACGAGACGUGGAUGUCCGAAUGGGGAAACCCGGCGGUUAGAAGAACCGUCACCGUUAAGUGAAUCCAUAGCAUAACGGAGGGAACCCGGGGAACUGAAACAUCUUAGUACCCGGAGGAAAAGAAAGAAACAUCGAUUCCUUAAGUAGCGGCGAGCGAACGAGGAAAAGCCCAGAAUCCAACAAUCAUUUCCGUUUAGCAGAAGGGCAUGGGAAGGCCCCGCAAAGAGCGUAAGACGCGCGUAAGCGAAAAGCCGAAAUGAGGAGAUUCAACGAGUACCACGGGACACGUGAAACCCUGUGGGAAG